AUACGACCAUAGGUAGUGGAGAAUUUCGGAUCCCGUCCGCUCUCCGGUAAACAAGCCACUAACCGGCAGAUUAGUAGUUGGGUCGGUGACGACCAGCGAACACCGGCUGUUGUAUG